CACACAGUCAAUUUUAUUUAACGCAAUAUAAUUUAUACCAGAUCUUGGAGUCUUAAAGGCCUGAAUAAUUUACAUUGAUGUACAUUUACUUUUGACAGGCUGAUGAAAAACAUGAACUGCAUCUGAAGAUAAUGCUGGUUCAAUUAUUCUUGCCCAUACAGCUCCAACAUUAAAAACUCAUGAGAAGUCAUAAAAGGAAAAAAAAAGAACAAUAACAACAACAACAACAAACAAAUUUAAGAACUCACAAAAUAAAUUUCGGUUUAUUGUCGCACAACAAAUUUCACACAUACAUCAAACAGGCCACAAAUAGAUAGCAAUUUAACAGACAAGAAAGAAAAGAAGAAAAUUCUUUUCUUUUGGCCUUGCCCUCUCAUACAAUCCAACUACGUAUGAUACAACUGAUGUACAUACACAAAGUUACUGGAAUGCUUUGAAUUAAUGUUUUUUUUUUCAUGGUUUUCUGCAAUUUUUAAUUCCUUUUUUUGCGUAGUUUUUUACAAGUUUCUUUUGAGAUAACAUGACAUGGUCAAACCACAAGUAAAAUCUAUUUCAUAGAGAAGCAUCAACUUCAAAGCACCGUUUUGUAACCAGAGAUCACUGUCAAAAAUGGCUGACCUCCUAACAAUAUGUACAAAAAUAUAAAAUGUAAAUAAAAAUACAAACAAAUUUUUCCUUUUAAAGUAUUUUGUAAGAAGGUAGAGCUUUGAAGUCUUGGUUGUUUCUACAAAAUCUGCAGUUAGGUGUGUGUACACGGAUGCUGGACUCUACUUGAUGAUGACCAUGUUUUUCCUCCCCCAGUGGACGAGUUAAGGAAAGGAGGGAUGAGAAGAUUUCCAGCAGAGUAGCUUCUUACACAUCAGUCUUUUGCUUCUUGGUUUCAACAUCAUCCUAAAAACAGUGGCCAAACAGAGUUAAAACACUACAGUUUGUACGGUCAGACUUACACACGUAUGUAAGGAUUUCACUGCAUAGUAGAAAUUACCUCAUCAUCAUCAUCAUCAUCCUCGGCCGCUCUUUUUCCUGUGCCACCCUCAGCCUCAUCAUCAUCUUCAUCAUCAUCAUCAUCACCUGUAAUCAGAUCAUUCUCCAUUACCUCUGCUAUAAAGCUGCUCCUCCACAAACAGUGAGAGGGCUUCCUCAGUGAUCUCUGGCAUCUAAAUGGAGUCUUUUCCUGUCUGCAACAAUAAUAACCAAUCUGGAAAUCCCCCUGCUUUGCUGCCGUCUGGUAUGGCUGGUCACGUGGUCUUGCACAGUCCCAAGGGCCCAGAGCCCUACUUGUCCUGGUCUCUUGGAUGGCCCUGUUUACUUAUACAAUCUUAUUACUGUUAAGAAUUCGCAAAUGGCCUUGAGACUGCAACAUGGACAGCCACUGUUUAUUAUAAUUCUGGUCAUCUAAUAGCACAAACUAUGUGGGA
ensembl:lncRNA